UUUCAUCCACCUACAGCCUAAAUACAGAAAGACGUUAUAAGAAUGGUUCGCUCAAAACAAGUAAAGAAGAGUGUAAGAUGAGUACAAAAAGGUCAACAUAUAUCUCAGGUCACGAAUUUAUGAUUCAACAUUGACAACAUACUGAUCAUUUUGAUCAAAUCUUAUCUGGUUCCAUCUAUCUCCUUUGACAGCAUUUUAGAUAAUAAUUGCAUUGUAACUAAUUUUGAUGAUCACGCUACCUUGUGCAGGUAAUUCAUGAUGGGAAAUGAACGUCGGACCAUGUUCCCCAGUCAUUUCUUAAGAUUUUGACAUGCACUCUGCCGUGUCACAAAAUGUAACCGGAAUCAAAGCGCGCGUUCCUUCUCCAGGUAUCCGAUGUCGAAAAGCCAUCCCAAGACGAUUUUAACGACGUCGAAAAGCCAUCCCAAGAUGAUUUUAACGACGUCAGGAGGCAUUGAGUGCCCAGCACACUGAAUUGAAUUGCUAUGAACCUGUUGGAGUUUAAUUCUAUAUUCCUAUGUUUAAUUAUUUAUUUAGAUUUAUUUAGAUAAUGUUUUGGUUUUAUUUGAAUAAGUCUCUGUAACGUGUGUUGGUUGCAGCGAGAAUAGGUCUUCAGUAAUUAAGUUUGGAUAGGUUAGUCGUGGAGAUAUAUCAGGAGGUGUUCCUAGUUUUUAGUCACCACCUUAGGUGAUGGGCUUUUAAAUAGUUUUAGUCUGGAGUAGUUAGUUCUUAUCUCUCGUGAUCUUUCAUUUGUACGUUGUAUUCUUUCCCCAAGUUAUAUACUGAAAAUGAGUCUUUGCUCACAGCCUUCUUGUCUUUCAAUUUUACUUGUAUAAACCACACACAUCCACGUUGAGUUUCUAACACUUGGUAUCAGAGCGAGGUUGUUUAUGCCAAAAUAUAUGCCGAGGUUGAUGACUAUGGAGACAUCAAAAAUCAAGGAGGGAACAGUGAGUAUAAACUAUCCGAUGUUGUCAAAAUCCAACUACACGGCGUGGUCAAUGAAGAUGCAGGUCUUCAUGGAAGCUCAGGGAGUUUGGGAGGCUGUGGAGCCUAGUGACCCGGAGGUGAACGUUGAAAAACGGAUGGAUAAAAUGGCGCUGGCAGCAAUUUAUCAAGGCAUUCCAGAGGAGUUUAUGUUAACUCUGUCCGGUAAGAAAACGGCCAAGGUGGCGUGGGAGGCAAUCAAGACAAUGUGUAUGGGGGUGGAACGAGUACAGGAGGCUAGGGUGCAGACAUUAAAGGGAGAAUUCGAGUCUCUCAUGAUGAAAGACUCAGAGAAUAUAGAAGAUUUCUGCUUGAAACUGAGUGGCAUUGUGACUAACAUUCGAGUUCUUGGAGAGGCUAUGGAAGAGUCCAGUGUUGUAAGGAAGAUUCUACGUGCUGUGCCUGAUAAGUUCCUCCAAAUAGCUUCAAACAUUGAACAAUUUGGAGAUGUUAAAGCCAUGUCAGUUGAGGAACUGGUGGGACGUCUCAAGGCCCAUGAAGAAAGAAUGAAAGGUAGGAGUGAGCAAAGUGAGCAACAACAACUUCUCUUAGCUAAGAAAUGGAAGGGCAGACUGGACAAGAGCAAGAUAAAAUGUUUCAAUUGCAACAUUUAUGGUCACUUCGCCUCAGAGUGUGACAAACCUCGACGAAAGAAAGAACACUGUCAAGAAGCAAAUCUAGCACAGCUUCAUGACGACGAACCAGCAUUGCUGUAGAGGCCAUAUGGGCCAACAAAGACAAGCCAUACGGGCUUGUGAAUAAUAGCCAUAAGGGCUGUGAAAGGGAUGCCAUAUGGGCAGGAAAUAAAUUGCCAGAGGGGCAAACAAGGAAGCCAAAAGGAGUUGUGAUCAGUGGUGCCAUAUGGGCACAGAAAGGCCACACGGGCUGGAUCAAUGUAUUUGCCAUACGGGCAUGAAGAAGCUGUUUCAGUUCAAGGCAUGCCAUACGGGUAGCUGAAGAAUUGAUAGAUAAUAUAGAAUUAAGGGGGAGAUUGUUGGAGUUUAAUUCUAUAUUCCUAUGUUUAAUUAUUUAUUUAGAUUUAUUUAGAUAAUGUUUUGGUUUUAUUUGAAUAAGUCUCUGUAACGUGUGUUGGUUGCAGUGAGAAUAGGUCUUCAGUAAUUAAGUUUGGAUAGGUUAGUCGUGGAGAUAUAUCAGGGAGUUCAAGGCAUGCCAUACGGGUAGCUGAAGAAUUGAUAGAUAAUAUAGAAU
rnacentral:lncRNA from 1 species